GCCAGCGUCCCGACAGGGGUCAGCGUCCGCGCGCUGCGCGCUGCGGGCCAGGGCGCGCGGGACCCGGGGCUUGUGGCGCUGGAAAYGCGAGUUAACAGCGCCAUGGGUUCUCCGGGCAGGUCAAGGAUCGGGGCACUUUGAAGAUCCGCUAACCACGCCACGUUCCCUCGGCGAGAGACCCUGGAUGCUCCCGGAGGCAGCGGCGCGGCGAGAGGUGGGGCGGACCCCCGCCAGCGCCGGCGCGGGGGGCGCGGUGGCUGAGCGGUGCUGCGCGUCCCUGGGCGCAGGAACCCGAGGGCCGAGAYCCGAGCCACUCCACUCCACUCACAGCGCCAGUUUUUGCCGAGCAGCCCGCUUGGGGCGAGAGAUGGGGUUGGGGAGCAAGGGAUCAGCUAGGAAAGCAGGGGUCGCCUGUGGCUGAGAGGCGCGGGGGGGAAGCCUGAAGCUCUGGAAGGGACUUUGAGAUGAGGCUCUGUUCCUGUACACAGUAGGUGUGCAGUGACCAUUGCAUUGAACGGACGGCCAAACUACAGCGUGGCAUUGUAAAUCACUUUCCRUUGUACUUGGAACAAAAAUCAAACUCCUUCCUGAGGCCCAAGGUUCCGGCUAUGGCCUGGCCAUCUGCYCCAAUGGGUUCUGGAUGCUGAAUGUCUGUCCGCGACCGAACGCUGCUUGCACUGUCCUGAAAGGGGGACCUUGAGCAAACGACUUAACCUCUUUGACCUCAGUUUCCACAGCUGUAAAUGGGGUCAAUAAUGGAACCCUACACUCAAGGACCUUGAUGCGCUUUCACACAGUAYUUAAAAUGGUGCUUGCCUCAUAGAAAAGUGCCUGAUAAAUGUUAGGAGGAUUCACUGCACCUGGGCCAUGUCCGCAUUUUCCAUCUUCCUGGACCUCCCUGAACGCAUUCCUGCCUCUGCCCCUGCAGGCAGAGAAUUUGCCUUUCUCUGUCAUGGCUUCUGCUUCAGGCCUUCACUCAACUGUCACCCCAAGGCGUCUUCACUGUCAUGGACCAUCCUGCUCAUCGUUAACUUAAAGCUCUGUGUUCUUGCCAGUACUGAUCCUGAUCUGAACAGUUUUCACCUUUUUCUUGGCCUUUAUUGCCUGUCUUCUCCCCGAAGUGUAAGUUCUACAGGAAUGGAACCUUUCUUCUCUGCAGGCUCUCAGCACGUUGCUCAGUACSUGAAAUGUAGUAGGUGCUCAAGGAAGCCCAGGAAAUGGAUGAAUGGAGUYACUUCCUCUCGGACCUCAACACCAGAGUGGUUGAACUUGUUAUCUCUUAUGGGCCCAAGUCUGUUGUUCAAGGAUAUAAGCAAAAUCAUCCACGUGGAAAUUUUUAUUUUCAAAAUGAGAAAAUAACAAUUUGCUAAAGAGAUCUAGGUUCUCAGGCAGAACUACAGACUGUUCUCAAUGAUGUCAACUUUCGUCCCUACCUGGGUCUGACAUUGGCGGGAACCAGUUUCUGAGAACUCCUCCCAUCCUCCCUGAGCCAGGGGACCAGGCCUGACAGGUGGCUAAGGCCCUUCUAGAUCUCUUCCCUAGUUUUGCCUGACCUUCACCCUCAGUUGAGGGUUUGCUGGUUCUGGGCCAGUUUGGUCCUAGGACCCUAUAGAUGUCCCUGUCCUGAGCAAGCCCUGCCUGCUUUCCUCCUGUAGGUCCGGGAGUGCCCUUCCUCCUCCAGUGACGACAUCUUGUGCAGGGUCUUUCCUUUGGCCUCCUGGACAGAGCUCCUCUGCCCUUUCCAUUGCUCUUCUUUGAUGUUAGUUAUAGAUUCACACUUGCUCUUUCUCCUUCAGAGCAGCUGCUUUAUACCGGUUCCUGCUGGGCUACCAGACCCCUUCUCCCCUGCCAGGGCCGAGAAGCUGGGUGAGGCUGCCUCAGCAGCUCAAUUCAAGAUACAGGACACACCAAAGUCAAAAUGGAGAGCCUUGAACGCUCCCUGUGGAGAGAGGCGAGUCUGGUGUGUACUCCUGGCCUCACUGCCCACUACCCUGUGAUCCUGGGCCUUCUGCAAUUUCCUGAGCUCCUCCCCACUGCCAUAAUUUGAGGUCCCCAGUGUGCAGGGGAGGUGUGAAGAUGCCAGCCCCGGGGGUCCCCUCACUGAGGAGGUGGCCGGAGCCUCCAGCUGGGGGCAGUGCACUGGCCAGAAUGGCGAGCGUCCAGGGUCCCAAGCUGCGUGCUGGAGCYGUGCAUGCCGAGUGCUUUAGAUGAMUUAUUUCAUUGAGUUCUGCUAAUUUCCUUAUGAACCAGGGGCUACUAUUGUCACCAUUUUAUAGGGGGGUGGGAACCAAGUCUCUGCCAGAGUAACUCCUUUUCCCAAGUUUUCACCGUUUAAAGACAUGGAGGCUGGGUGCCAUUUCAAUUCCGUUUCCUGUGGAGCAGCCCCUUGCCAGGCCACCCUCUGCCAUUUCAUCAAAUUUUGGUGGGGGAGCCCUACCUGUCAUCAAGCAGAAUUACAUGUUUGAAUGAACACCUACUAUGUGCAAACUCUGGUCAGAAGCCCUGUCAUCACACAGGGAGGACCCAGCCGGUCCCUAGGCAUGGUAUCCUGGUAGAGAAAGGAGCUUUUUACCUCUGCCUCUAUCCCCGCCAAACCCGCACCAUGGAAGGGGUAACGUGGACCGCAAUGCAUUAUAAUACGCUGUCACCCUCAGAGGAGAGAGAGACCCCACAGGCAGGGGCAGAGGUGGUUUCCCGGAGAAGUGGAAUCAAGAUGAACUGUGUCUGUUUGGACUUGAAUACCUGCUGGCUGAGUGACCUUGGCAAGUGACCUGCCCUCUCUGAGUCUAUUCUGCCUGCUCUAAGGUGGAGAUAACAAAGGUACCGACCUUGCAGGAUUGUCAGGAGGAGUAAGUGAAUUAAU